AUUGAACGCUGGCGGCAUGCUUUACACAUGCAAGUCGAACGGUAACAGACCGCAAGGUGCUGACGAGUGGCGAACGGGUGAGUAAUGCAUCGGAACGUGCCCAGUCGUGGGGGAUAACGCAGCGAAAGCUGUGCUAAUACCGCAUACGAUCUGUGGAUGAAAGCGGGGGACCGUAAGGCCUCGCGCGAUUGGAGCGGCCGAUGUCAGAUUAGGUAGUUGGUGGGGUAAAGGCCUACCAAGCCGACGAUCUGUAGCUGGUCUGAGAGGACGACCAGCCACACUGGGACUGAGACACGGCCCAGACUCCUACGGGAGGCAGCAGUGGGGAAUUUUGGACAAUGGGCGCAAGCCUGAUCCAGCAAUGCCGCGUGCAGGAAGAAGGCCUUCGGGUUGUAAACUGCUUUUGUACGGAACGAAACGGUCUGGGUUAAUACCCUGGGCUAAUGACGGUACCGUAAGAAUAAGCACCGGCUAACUACGUGCCAGCCGCCGCAGUAAAAC
rnacentral:rRNA from 1 species